AGGCCCCUCCUUCCAGCCGAAGCUCCCGCUCACCCCUGCCACGUCAAAGGAGGCAGAAGGGGAGUCGGGAGCAGAGAGGGGACCA
rnacentral:pre_miRNA from 1 species